UGCCGUCUACUCUUGGACAGCCUUCUGAAAGGAAGACUAAUACAAGAUGGCAUCAUGAGUCCGCAUGUUCACAAUGAUUAAAGGUAUUCCGGUAGACGAUGGGGAUGCGUUCCAUUAGAUAGUAGGCGGGGUAACGGCCCACCUAGUCUUCGAUGGGUAGGGGUUCUGAGAGGAAGGUCCCCCACAUUGGAACUGAGACACGGUCCAAACUCCUACGGGAGGCAGCAUG
rnacentral:rRNA from 1 species